AAUGGUGAAUAAAUUAUAAUUUUAUUAUUUUUUAAAAAAAAUUCACUGUAGUGGUAGAAAAAUUGUAUUUUUUAAUUUUUUUCUCAAAUGGUUAUAAACUUGUAUUUUGUAAUUUUUUUUUUAUCUUUUUCUUUGCAUCUAGUAUAUUUAUCGCUUUACACUUUACUUAUGUAAUAUCAAUUUUUUUUAUAUUCAACAUUUUGUAAUAUAAAUUUUAUUUUCCUUAAACUUAUUUUUUUAAGAAAAAAAUUAUUAUUUUUUAUUCAUACACCUGGAAUAAUUACCAUUAUACUUGCAGGUAAGGACGCGCUGGUCUUUUUUUUGUCUUUGAUAAUGUGACAAAUGACAUAUCACCCGCACUUUUUCAAAAUAUGUCAAGCUCGCAGGCCUAAAAUGCUAGGUUCAAGAAAUCAAGAUGCUCUUGCAAGCCCGCCAAGCCAUCAAGCGUGGUCUCAAAUGCUCUAGUGUGACCUCGAGACAGGCCCUCCGUCUCAACACCAAAGAUAUUUAUCCCUGUCACGUCACUUGUUAACAUCAACGAUUAACAAUUAACAACAACUGUAAAACAUGCAGCUAAAACACUGUGUAUAUAUACCCUGUUCUUACUCUUCAUUGCUUCGGUGUAUUAUCAAUUAUGCCCUCGCAAGAAAACUUGAGAUGACUCUGGUUCAAGGGUGUUUUAGUGUUUUUAUAUAACCCAGAGUCAUUAAUGGUUAGUGAAGGAGCACCAGUGACCUUUUAGUUUUGUUGGGACGGUAAAAUGACUUCUUUUCCCUUUUGAUCAAUUUUUUCUAACUCUCUAGCGAGGGUAGUUGAGUCUUUUCAUUUCACCGGAGAAGAAAAGGGGACUACGAAAAGCCAGAAGAGAAAAGGAAAGGGUACUCAUGAUGGAGAAGAAACAAGUGCAGAGGCAGGGAUUUGCUUGCGCAUCACCGAUGACAAUGAUGGUUAGGAUGGUCAGAUUGCAAGGAAAGAAGGUAUUUCGGUUGAAAUCCUAAGUCUUUAAUGUUAUUCCUACAUCGGUUUAACCUCCGAGUCGGCUUCUAAUCUGUUCAUAUGUUAAUCAGCUAUUGAGAAGGGCAAGUAAGCAAGUAAUCAAGCUCCGAGAUCAACAAGAACCAGCUCUUUGCUAGAGUUCCUGGAAGGUGUUGUGUAUUAUUGAUGGCUUUAAACUUACAAAAAGCAUAUAUUAAACUGUUGCUUUUAAUUUGAUCUUUGUAGACCAAUUUCUUUUUUUUAAUCUAUGUUUUCAGUUCUGAAAGCAAAACCACAUGUAGAUUUUGGGGUGAGAGGAAGCAGGAUUAGGUGUAUGGUUGAAAAAUUAUCAAAACAUUUUUUUUUCCCCGUUUAGGAUAUCA